rnacentral:rRNA from 1 species
AGAGAGAGACAUGCGCGCAUAUCAAUAAGCGGAGGAAAAGAAACUAACAAGGAUUCCCUUAGUAACGGCGAGUGAAGCGGGAAGAGCUCAAAUUUGAAAUCUUCAAGGUUUUACCUUGACGAAUUGUAGUUUAAAGAAGUGUUUUCUGCUGAAGUUUUGGUAAAAGUUCUUUGGAAUAGGACAUCAUAGAGGGUGAGAAUCCCGUAUUUGACCAUUAUUUUCAGCUUUGUGAUACACUUUCAAAGAGUCGGAUUGUUUGGGAAUGCAGUCCAAAAUGGGUGGUAAAUUUCAUCUAAAGCUAAAUAUUGGCGAGAGACCGAUAGCGAACAAGUACCGUGAGGGAAAGAUGAAAAGAACUUUGAAAAGAGAGUUAAACAGUACGUGAAAUUGUCAAAAGGGAAGCGUUUGACACCAGUGUUGUUUUCUCGAAAAUCAAUUAAAAAUGGCUCGAUUUUGUAUUGCUUGAGACCUUAAAAGCUCACUGUACAUUUUUCGUGUCUUUUUUAAUGCACUUUUCGUUUAACAAGUCAACAUCAGUUUCUUUUGUUGUAAAAGGGUCAUUGGAAGGUGGCUUUCUUUUCGGAGAAAGUGUUUAUAGCCUUUGGCCUCUGCAAUCGGAGAGACUGAGGUCUGCAGCGUAGACUCUUCGGGGUUAGAUACAUUUGUGCUAAGUUAUAGCUUUUUAUAGACAACUUGUUGACUAUAAUUAGUCUUGUAGCUUACUCGCUUAUGCCUAUUUUACCUACGCUUAGGAUGUUGAAGAUGUAGCACAUCAU